UGGAUCCGUUUCUUACACCACGUCUGCAGAGAGAUAUGGUGCUUAUUUAACUACUUCAGAAAAAGGUUGUGAAGGCUCAGGCAGCCCAUCCAAGCUGAAGUUUUGAUGAAAUUCUUCACGAGAAUUUUUGAGAACAAUAUUUCUUAGGAACAAGUUGUCACUACUCACUACUAAGAGUGGUCUGCCCCUCUGUCUCUCUCCAGCCCACACAUGAGAUUCUCUACACAUGAAGCACUCGAAGUUUCUUUGAAUUGGAAGAUGAUGCAAAAUUGAAAGUUGCCUAUUUGAGAAGAAUGCUAAAUGAAAGGCUAUCAGGUCUAAUGGGAAUAUAAAUAGAUAAGCUUUUCGAAAAUUAAGUCACUUAAUUGUUCAGGUUAUAUAUAACUCAGAAGUUGCUAAAUCACACCAUGUCUUUGGCAGGCUCUUACUUCAGCUGUUCCUAGAAAAAGUGGGGCAAGGUGGGGGACAGAACCAAGUACCAAUGUAUACGAAAUACAUUGGAGCUAUUACUUUUUAUUUAAAGAGAAAUAACCAGUGCCUGAUAACAUGGCCUGUUUGUUAGCAAGGCAAAAUAUUUUUUCAAAAUUCUUAAAAGUAAGGGUCUUUCAAAACCUUAAUUGGGUUCUGAUAUUUAAAAGGAUGAUCAAAGAGAAUCUGGCUAUAGCGCUUACAGGGCUCAUUUAUCUCACAUGAGAAGUGCACAUAAUCACUUGUCUGCAUUUCUGGUCAGCAUUGGAGAUUUUCCUAUUCAGCUUGCUAAUUAGCUGUGAAAAAAUGGAAAUGAGUAAAAAUAAUAAAAUUUUAUUUAAAAAUCUUUUCCCAGAAUUCACCGGCUUUAAAAAAUGUUCCCAUGAAAGGGCAUAAUUUCAGAAAAUUCUGCCUUUUUCAUUUUUCCCCCCUUCCAAGGUCAAGUGAUGACAUGUUAUUAUCAAGCUGUUGAUACACACAGCAUGUUAGUUCUGCAUCUGGAAAUACUUUAUGUGGAGAAAAUCACUUUUUUUUUUUUUUUGAGGGAAAGCUCAAUAUAGCAGAAAAAAUAUUUUUUCUUCAGGAAAUAGAGCCAUUUGUUCAUUACCAGGCAAAUAGUGCUCCCCUUCCUUUGGGCCCUCUGCCAGAGUUAUUUGCACAUAGGCUUGUUCAAGCUAACCACCUUGGCUUCUUUCUUCUUCACACCAUUUGAUCCUGUAUUAGCUUGAAGCUCUUGUGGAUAAAAAAGUGCUUCACUGUGACAUUUUUGUGUUCCGUGGAGGAGUCAUGGGCACACUCCCUUAUGAGUAAAGAUUACCCUUGUUUACGUAGGAGAGUAGACAAACAAGACACAGCAGCCCAGAUUCAAGGAACGCAUAGGGAGAGGUGUUGGGAGGGUGAACUGGCAAUGUCUUUUUCUCUUUUCUCAUAAGACGGCACUCAAGCAAAAUGAAAGCAAUGUGUACAAAUGAGAAGGUGGACUGCUGUGGCUGGAAAUAAAUUUUAUGGUAUUAAAUGAUUCAAUGAUAUAUGAAACUCAUAGCUGCUAGCUAUCUCUGAGUAGAAGAGCUUGAGAUGGUCGGUAGACGGUAGGUACCUCUCAAAAUAAAAAUCCCCUCAGCUACCCAAAUUAAUACUGCCCUACAAGCUGAUUUGGUGGUGUGUUUGGCAUCCAAAGGAAAGCAGGAGACAAAUGCAGCUCUUUCAGGACUCACCAAGUCUUCUGAUCUAGCUCGGUCCCCCUUCUCACCCUCCUUCUCAGCCCCAGAGCAGCUGGGGGAGCCCCUUCAGGCUCUCCAGGAGUCCCUGGGGAGGGAAUGGUGGCAGGGACCCUCAUCUUCGCCAGCCCUUCAUCACCCCAGCAUCCAGCUCAGGGCCCUUCUCUCAUGAGGGGAGAAAGAGGAGGACAGAAGAGGGAGUAUACCCCCCUUCCAGCAUUGGAAAGCCAGCCCCGAGAAUCUUAGAGUUUUACUAGUAAGUGCAAGGAGCACUGAAUGUAACUAGGGAAUUAGAAAAGGCAGUGGCGGGGGCGGAAGGGACAAGGGCAGCAAGAGACAUUGCAGUCCAGGCAGUCAGAAAAAGGAGUGAAGGAAAAUAGAAGGAAGCUCCUACACAAAUAAGCAUGAUGAGUUUUAAACAACAUUGAUAGGAAACUAUUAGUAUUUGUUUACUUAUGAGGAAAGCCAUUCCCAGUUUCCCAUAGAUUUUCUCACGUAAUCAAACCUUAAGAAAGAGGAUGCUAAACAGCAAAAUAACACCACUAAUUUUGAUUUGCACUCCUACCCUCUGAGACUUUCAGAAAAUUGGAUGUAUUUGGUCCAUUUUGCUUUACACUACUCACACUGAAAUCAAUAGAUAGUAUCAAUCCCUUUAUAUAAAGGAUUCUUUUGGUGUGGCUGUAUCUGUAACAACUCUGUGAUGAAAUAGUAAAGAGCUUGUGUGUACAGGUCUAGGGACCAAGUAAUUUUUCCCCAAGAAAGAAUGAAUGAAUUGCUUUAAAACUGUUAGCUCUGUUAGGAAUGGUUAUUUAACAUUUCAACUCAACUGAACUAUUAUAGAAAAAUUAUGUAGUGCUUUCUAUUAUCUACUUUGGGAGCAGCACGGUUUACAAAACUGAUGGAUUCUGUGUGUUCUGAGAUCAAACCAAGUUUUCAGAACAAUUUAUAGUGUUUAAUAAACUGUGAACAUCA